GGCUCAGGACGAACGCUGGCGGCGUGCCUAACACAUGCAAGUCGAGCGAGGAGAUCCUUCGGGAUGAUCCUAGCGGCGGACGGGUGAGUAACACGUGGGCAACCUGCCUCAUAGAGAGGAAUAGCCUUCCGAAAGGGAGAUUAAUACCUCAUAACAUUGCAGUUUCGCAUGGAACAGCAAUUAAAGGAGCAAUCCGCUAUGAGAUGGGCCCGCGGCGCAUUAGCUAGUUGGUGAGGUAACGGCUCACCAAGGCGACGAUGCGUAGCCGACCUGGGAGGGCGAUCGGCCACAUUGGGACUGAGACACGGCCCAGACUCCUACGGGAGGCAGCAGUGGGGAAUAUUGCACAAUGGGGGAAACCCUGAUGCCAGCAACGCCGCGUGAGUGAUGACGGCCUUCGGGUUGUAAAGCUCUGUCUUCAGGGACGAUAAUGACGGUACCUGAGGAGGAAGCCACGGCUAACUACGUGCCAGCCGCGGC
rnacentral:rRNA from 1 species